GAUUAAUAUGUCUGAAGUGCCAUAUAACAGCUAACAUUGAUCCAUUUGGCCCCACAGCCUGCAGUGGAAGGAAAGCCAGGCUCCCAGCUUAGUGCAGAAAAUUGCCCCUCACAGGACUCAUCUGGCUGGUAGUAAAUACGCAGUAGGGGAGGCUUUCAGUGUUGUCCUUUCUUGACAGGGAGUUAGUUAAACUUAGGAUUUGUCCUGGAGGAUUCUUUUACAGGUUUUCUCCUCUCCAUGUUUCCUUCUACCCCCUCUAUGGCCCCUAGAAAAAGGGAUUCUUUCAGACUGGGUCCAGUGAAAUAACAUCAGCCUGGUGAACCCCAGCCGUCUUUACUCCUUCUGAAAGACAUGGCCACUGUGCCACCUAACCCAUAGCACUUUCUGGCAUGGUUUGGGCUGUGUCAAGUCUCAUUUCUUCAUGGAAAGAGCAUCCCAGCAGUUUUGGGAUGAGGAUGAGCAAGGGGCUGAUCCAGGAGUGAGCAUGGACGAGAGUGCCCUGUUGGAGCGUACAGCUGCGUUGAUAUGAGCGGUGGUGAGCAAAGCCAGGGAACGUUCUGGCACACGUUACUGAUUACAAUAGCAACAGCUCUCUGGGCAUCCUCUAACAAGGGGCAGAAUGUCUUCUGGUUGUUACCUGGUUCUGUUCACUAAGAGUCCACUUAUAACUGGGCUAUCUUUGUGCCAGGAAGAGGCGCACACUGUGUUCCACCUCAUAACCCUUUCCUCCAUCUUCAUGACAGCUGAUGCGGCACUGUCCAUCUGUAUGUAACCCACAAAUUAUCUUUCCACAUCACUUUCAGAAGUUUUCACAGCUGGAUAAAGGAGUGAGGUUGAAAGGAAGAAAGGGCUGAAGUCUGCCCAUAUCUCUGUGGUGUGGCCCUUCCUGUCCAACUGUGCAGCUGAAGCUCUCCCUCUGGCUUUCAUCUGUUCCUAUCUUGAUUUUUCCUGUAUGAUUUAUUUUUUUUUAGUUUUGAUAAAUGCAGUCUUGCCCUUCACUUGCACCCAGUGUGCUACAGAGGUCACUUUUCUGUCCCAGUGCUUUGACCAUGACACUUUUCUUUGUAAUCUGUAUCUGGUUCCCUGCGUGCAUUUCAAAAAUAAGUUCCUUUAUACAUCCUGAAAACUUUCCAAACUUCAUCUUCCUCUUGUCCAUUGCUCCCUACAAAGGGAUUGAUUCCAUCCAUCAUUACCCAUUUUUCAAAUGUUCAGACAGAAGUUGUGCAGCUCCCUCACUUUCUGCCCUCACCUCAGUCCCUGUAGCCAGACAUGCGCCUGCAUUGUAACUGCUGCCCAUGGAAAAUCAGGUGAAUAGGAAACGUCUCUGUCUACGGAUAGCUCAUAUUCACUUAUCCUCUCACACUGAUCUGUAUCUAUCCACUGUUUUUUGUUCUGUUUUGUUAGAUACUAGGAGGAAGUUUUUCACACAGAGGGUGGUGACACACUGGAACAGGUUGCCCAAGGAGGUUGUGGAUGCCCCAUCCCUGGAGGCAUUCAAGGCCAGGCUGGAUGUGGCUCUGGGCAGCCUGGUCUGGUGGUUGGCAACCCUGCACAUAGAAGGGGGGUUGAAACUCGAUGACCAUUAUGGUCUUUUUCAACCCAGGCCAUUCUAUGAUUCUAAAUUUGAUUGAAAAGCCGAAGUUUGCAAAUAUUUGUAAGCUUUUUUCACCUAUGAAUUUUAAUGGGACAUAAACUCUUUAAUUUUGAGAAUUAGAGUUCAAAUUCUUCUGGGGAUGGAUCAUAUUUUUAAAGGAGACCAAUCUAGAAAUAAAACUCUGAGCUGUUAUU
ensembl:lncRNA